rnacentral:rRNA from 1 species
UACACUCCUACGGGAGGCAGCAGUGGGGAAUUUUGGACAAUGGGCGAAAGCCUGAUCCAGCAAUGCCGCGUGUGUGAAGAAGGCCUUCGGGUUGUAAAGCACUUUUGUCCGGAAAGAAAUCCUUGGCUCUAAUACAGUCGGGGGAUGACGGUACCGGAAGAAUAAGCACCGGCUAACUACGUGCCAGCAGCCGCGGUAAUACGUAGGGUGCGAGCGUUAAUCGGAAUUACUGGGCGUAAAGCGUGCGCAGGCGGUUUGCUAAGACCGAUGUGAAAUCCCCGGGCUCAACCUGGGAACUGCAUUGGUGACUGGCAGGCUAGAGUAUGGCAGAGGGGGGUAGAAUUCCACGUGUAGCAGUGAAAUGCGUAGAGAUGUGGAGGAAUACCGAUGGCGAAGGCAGCCCCCUGGGCCAAUACUGACGCUCAUGCACGAAAGCGUGGGGAGCAAACAGGAUUAGAUACCCCUGUAGUCCCAUGA